UUUAGGUUCAUCAAUUUUAUUUUGUUUUUAAGAAAAAGAGUUGUUCAAACGGCCUAGCUUGGGAACGAGGUAUUGUUGUCAAUUUAAGGAAUAAGAGGUGUUUAAACGGAGUGAGGAUUCAUAUAGCCGAUCCGACUAGCUUGGGAACGAGGAUAGUUAUUGGUUGUUGUUGUUGAUCUAAGGAAUAAGAAUUAAGAUAUGAGAGCCAAAAGGGAAUGGGAAGAAGGAACAGAAGACUCACAGUUCCUGGUUUCAUCCAUCAGGUACACUAGGAAAUGUGAAGGGACAUGUUAGGUGGAUCUUGAUUUAUCAAUGAUGCUUUUUUGUAUAUUCUACUGCAAAAGAAAGGAUUGGCCUAAAUGUAAACCUUGUUGAAGCAUGUUGUUCCUUUCUUAAAUCAAAGAGAUGAAUAUUAGGAGGAUCGUCUUCUAUGGGUGUUCCAUUAGACUUUUUGGAAACUUAAAUUCGGCAAAAUAAGAUUGUAUUCAGAAUGUGUACACUGAGCAUAAAGUCGUUCAGCAGAAGGGGUAUCUCAAGUAUAGAAUAGAACUCUGGAUCCUUUUGUUCCAACUUCCAAACUCUCUGCGUGUUCACUCUUUCUUUCUGGUCCACAGCCUCUGUAACUCAUAGCUUUUACUUUAGUUGUUCUAAUGCCAUUCAGAGAUAUCGCCCAAGAAAAUUGAUA
rnacentral:lncRNA from 1 species